AGGUGCGAUCAUACCAGCACUAAUGCACCGGAUCCCAUCAGAACUACGCAGUUAAGUGUGCUUGGGCGAGAGUAGUACUAGGAUGGGUGACCUCCUGGGAAGUCCUCGUGUUGCACCUC
rnacentral:rRNA from 2 species